GAUGAACGCUGACAGAAUGCUUAACACAUGCAAGUCGAUGGGGAAGUGGUGCUUGCACCAUGGUAACCAUGGCGGACGGGUGAGUAACGCGUAAGGAACUUACCUGCGGGACCGGGAUAACAGCAGGAAACUGCUGACAAGACCGGAUAAGGUCAUUAAGCUGCAUAGCUUAGUGAUGAAAGGAGACGCCUGCGGAGAGCCUUGCGUCCUAUUAGCUAGUUGGAGGGGUAACGGCCCACCAAGGCGAAGAUAGGUAGCCGGCCUGAGAGGGUGGACGGCCACAAGGGGACUGAGAUACGGCCCUUACUCCUACGGGAGGCAGCAGUGGGGAAUAUUGGACAAUGGGGGCAACCCUGAUCCAGCAAUUCUGUGUGCACGAAGACGGUUUUCGGAUUGUAAAGUGCUUUCAGCAGGGAAGAAGGGAGUGACGGUACCUGCAGAAGAAGCGACGGCUAAAUACGUG
rnacentral:rRNA from 1 species